AGGCAUACCUUUGCUAAGAUUACAGUGUAAAUAUACUUUAUUCCUUCAAAUAUUUAACAGCACAAUCCAGACAGUAGAGGCGGCCAAGGACAGCCCUGCUGCCACCCCACCACCUCCAGAGGACUUUCCAGAGGCAUAAGGAGGGAGAAAACAGCAAAAACCCUGCCUGUCACCGGAAAGCCCGCCAUUGGGGCCAGUGUGGUAAUACAGAAGCUAAAAUGACUAAACUGAGGCUAUCAGACUUUGGUCAGAUUAUGAGAAGACAACAGUCACUGAAAAAAUACAGGAAUGUUAAGAAAAGUUGAAGGCAGAAGGAAAAGAGAAAGACCCAACAAGAGAUGGACUGACUACUAGAUCAAGGAAACCGUGACUCUCAGUUUGCAAGACCCGAACAAGGCUGUUCGUAUUGAGGCUUUUGGUGGUCACCAUAAGCCAGAAGCAACUUGACAGUACUUAACAUACACAUUUAGACCAAAAUGUCCAGGUGCAUGAAGGGAAAUUUUGUGUACUGAUGCCAAUAAACUAAAUGCUAGGA